rnacentral:lncRNA from 1 species
CCCAUUACUUAGGAUGCCAACCACUCAAUGCACUUUUGUCAACGGUGAUCAUUCCCCUCCAUCUUCUGCACCCCAAUUACAGUAGCGUGUAGUUGGCUUGCUACCAGACCUUGCUAAUGUUAGCCAUAGUGGAGUUGAUGAGCUACAAUGCCAUGUUAUUUUCACUUUGGGUCAAAAGUGUGACUAAUUAUUUCCAAAAGAAUCGAUCAAGACAACUAACUACACUUUGAAUACCUACCUGGGUUGUCGUCUGCAAUUUGUCUUCUGAAUAUUUAUUCCCUGCCUUUGAUCAAACCAAUUUGUCUUCUGCCAAUAAAUAGAUUAUUGCUCUGAAGGGCUCUCUGCGGAAACCUUCUUACAUCGAGUAGAUCACCCUUGGCUGCUGGAGCAUUUGGACAACGAGAAACGCAGCAAUCU